AUUGAACGCUGGCGGCAGGCCUAACACAUGCAAGUCGAACGAGUGGCGGACGGGUGAGUAAUGUCUGGGAAACUGCCUGAUGGAGGGGGAUAACUACUGGAAACGGUAGCUAAUACCGCAUACCAUCAGAUGUGCCCAGAUGGGCUUAGCUAGUUGGUGGGGUAACGGCUCACCAAGGCGACGAUCCCUAGCUGGCCUGAGAGGAUGACCAGCCACACGGGAACUGAGACACGGCCCAGACUCCUACGGGAGGCAGCAUUGGGGAAUAUUGCACAAUGGGCGAAAGCCUGAUGCAGCCAUGCGGCGUGUAUGAAGAAGGCCUUCGGGUUGUAAAGUACUUUCAGCGGGGAGGCGGUACCCGCAGAGGAAGCACCGGCUAACUCCGUGCCAGCCGCCGCGGUAAUUC
rnacentral:rRNA from 1 species